GGCAAAAGAGAGCUUGAUUGCAAGACAUACAGGUCGAGCAAGGAUGAAAAUCGGACUUAGUGAUCCGGUGGUUCUGCGUGGAAGGGCCAUCGCUCAACGGAUAAAAGCUACCCUGGGGAUAACAGGCUUAUCUCCCCCAAGAGUCCACAUCGACGGGGAGGUUUGGCACCUCGAUGUCGGCUCAUCCCAUCCUGGGGCUGUAGUAGGUCCCAAGGGUUGGGCGGUUCGCCCAUUAAAGUGGUACGCGAGCUGGGUUCAGAACGUCGUGAGACAGUUCGGUCCCUAUCCGUCGCAGGCGUAGGAAAUUUGAGAAGACCUGUCCUUAGUACGAGAGGACCGGGAUGGACGUACCUCUGGUGUACCAGUUGU
rnacentral:rRNA from 1 species